UGGGGAAUAUUGGACAAUGGGCGCAAGCCUGAUCCAGCCAUGCCGCGUGUGUGAAGAAGGCCUUUUGGUUGUAAAGCACUUUAAGCGAGGAGGAGGCUACUUGGAUUAAUACUCUAAGAUAGUGGACGUUACUCGCAGAAUAAGCACCGGCUAACUCUGUGCCAGCAGCCGCGGUAAUACAGAGGGUGCGAGCGUUAAUCGGAUUUACUGGGCGUAAAGCGUGCGUAGGCGGCUUCUUAAGUCGGAUGUGAAAUCCCUGAGCUUAACUUAGGAAUUGCAUUCGAUACUGGGAAGCUAGAGUACGGGAGAGGAUGGUAGAAUUCCAGGUGUAGCGGUGAAAUGCGUAGAGAUCUGGAGGAAUACCGAUGGCGAAGGCAGCCAUCUGGCCUAAUACUGACGCUGAGGUACGAAAGCAUGGGGAGCAAACAGG
rnacentral:rRNA from 1 species